GUCGUACGGUGCGUAACACGUAUGCAACCUACCCUAUACAGAGGAUAGCCUAGGGAAACCUGGAUUAACCCUUCAUAGUAUUAUUGGAUGGCAUCAUUUGAUAGUUAAAACUGAGGUGGUAUAGGAUGGGCAUGCGUCUGAUUAGUUAGUUGGCGGGGUAAUGGCCCACCAAGACGAUGAUCAGUAGGGGUUCUGAGAGGAAGAUCCCCCCACACUGGCACUGAGAUACGGGCCAGACUCCUACGGGAGGCAGCAGUAGGGAAUAUUGGUCAAUGGAUGCAAGUCUGAACCAGCCAUGCCGCGUGCAGGAAGAAGGCCUUCUGGGUUGUAAACUGCUUUUGCCAGGGGAUAAAAUUUCCAUGCGUGGAAAACUGAAGGUACCUGGUGAAUAAGCCACGGCUAACUACGUG
rnacentral:rRNA from 1 species